GAUGAACGCUGGCGGCGUGCCUAAUACAUGCAAGUCGAGCGAACGGACGAGAAGCUUGCUUCUCUGAUGUUAGCGGCGGACGGGUGAGUAACACGUGGAUAACCUACCUAUAAGACUGGGAUAACUUCGGGAAACCGGAGCUAAUACCGGAUGAUAUUUUGAACCGCAUGGUUCAAAAGUGAAAGACGGUCUUGCUGUCACUUAUAGAUGGAUCCGCGCUGCAUUAGCUAGUUGGUAAGGUAACGGCUUACCAAGGCAACGAUGCAUAGCCGACCGGAGAGAGGGAUAGGCCGCACUAGAGCUGAGACACGGUCCAGACUCCUACGGGAGGCAGCAGAAGGGAAUCUUACGCAGUGGGCGAAAGCCUGACGGAGCAACGCCGCGUGAGUGAUGAAGGUCUUCGGAUCGUAAAACUCUGUUAUUAGGGAAGAACAUAUGUGUAAGUAACUGUGCACAUCUUGACGGUACCUAAUCAGAAAGCCACGGCUAACUACGUG
rnacentral:rRNA from 1 species